AAAGUGCGAUAACUAGUGUGAAUUGCAUUACUUUGUGAAUCAUCGAGUCUUUGAACGCAUCUUGCACUCUUUGGUAUUCCAGAGAGUAUGCCUGUUUGAGUAUCAUAAACAACAAUCACCAGUACACCUGUGGGUGUUAGUUUGGUGGACUUGACGGUGAGUUUUUUUAGCUAUCCGUUGAAAAGCAGUGACUUCUGGGCAAUUGACCAGUGUGGUGGUGAGCCGUGGCUCUCUUUAUUCAGCGCUGUAAUCUUUAGUCUGGAAGCAUUGAGGGUAACCUCACAAAGCCAGCCUUUGGGUGUGGUUUGAACCGUGAUCUCAAAUCAGGCAAGACUACCCGCUGAACUUAA
rnacentral:misc_RNA from 1 species